CCUACGGGAGGCUGCAGUGGGGAAUAUUGGACAAUGGGGGGAACCCUGAUCCAGCCAUGCCGCGUGUGUGAAGAAGGCCCUCGGGUUGUAAAGCACUUUCAGUGAGGAAGAACGCCUGGUGGUUAAUACCCAUCAGGAAAGACAUCACUCACAGAAGAAGCACCGGCUAACUCCGUGCCAGCAGCCGCGGUAAUACGGAGGGUGCGAGCGUUAAUCGGAAUUACUGGGCGUAAAGCGCGCGUAGGUGGCUUGAUAAGCCGGUUGUGAAAGCCCCGGGCUCAACCUGGGAACGGCAUCCGGAACUGUCAAGCUAGAGUGCAGGAGAGGAAGGUUGAAUUCCCGGUGUAGCGGUGAAAUGCGUAGAGAUCGGGAGGAAUACCAGUGGCGAAGGCGGCCUUCUGGACUGACACUGACACUGAGGUGCGAAAGCGUGGGUAGCAAACAGGAUUAGAUACCCUAGUAGUC
rnacentral:rRNA from 1 species